GUCACGCUGUAAACGAUGUCGAUUUGGAGGUUGUUCCCUUGAGGAGUGGCUUCCGGAGCUAACGCGUUAAAUCGACCGCUGGGGAGUACGGCCGCAAGGUUAAAACUCAAAUGAAUUGACGGGGGCCCGCACAAGCGGUGGAGCAUGUGGUUUAAUUCGAUGCAACGCGAAGAACCUUACCUACUCUUGACAUCCAGAGAAUUUAGCAGAGAUGCUUUAGUGCCUUCGGGAACUCUGAGACAGGUGCUGCAUGGCUGUCGUCAGCUCGCGUUGUGAAAUGUUGGGUUAAGUCCCGCAACGAGCGCAACCCUUAUCCUUUGUUGCCAGCACAUUAUGGUGGGAACUCAAAGGAGACUGCCGGUGAUAAACCGGAGGAAGGUGGGGAUGACGUCAAGUCAUCAUGGCCCUUACGAGUAGGGCUACACACGUGCUACAAUGGCGUAUACAAAGAGAAGCGACCUCGCGAGAGCAAGCGGAACUCAUAAAGUACGUCGUAGUCCGGAUUGGAGUCUGCAACUCGACUCCAUGAAGUCGGAAUCGCUAGUAAUCGUAGAUCAGAAUGCUACGGUGAAUACGUUCCCGGGCCUUGUACACACCGCCCGUCACACCAUGGGAGUGGGUUGCAAAAGAAGUAGGUAGCUUAACCUUUGGGAGGGCGCUUACCACUUUGUGAUUCAUGACUGGGGUGAAGUCGUAACAAGGUAACCA
rnacentral:rRNA from 1 species